ACACACGGCGGGUGCUAACGUCCGUCGUGAAGAGGGAAACAACCCAGACCGCCAGCUAAGGUCCCAAAGUCAUGGUUAAGUGGGAAACGAUGUGGGAAGGCCCAGACAGCCAGGAUGUUGGCUUAGAAGCAGCCAUCAUUUAAAGAAAGCGUAAUAGCUCACUGGUCGAGUCGGCCUGCGCGGAAGAUGUAACGGGGCUAAACCAUGCACCGAAGCUGCGGCAGCGACACUGUGUGUUGUUGGGUAGGGGAGCGUUCUGUAAGCCUGCGAAGGUGUGCUGUGAGGCAUGCUGGAGGUAUCAGAAGUGCGAAUGCUGACAUAAGUAACGAUAAAGCGGGUGAAAAGCCCGCUCGCCGGAAGACCAAGGGUUCCUGUCCAACGUUAAUCGGGGCAGGGUGAGUCGACCCCUAAGGCGAGGCCGAAAGGCGUAGUCGAUGGGAAACAGGUUAAUAUUCCUGUACUUGGUGUUACUGCGAAGGGGGGACGGAGAAGGCUAUGUUGGCCGGGCGACGGUUGUCCCGGUUUAAGCGUGUAGGCUGGUUUUCCAGGCAAAUCCGGAAAAUCAAGGCUGAGGCGUGAUGACGAGGCACUACGGUGCUGAAGCAACAAAUGCCCUGCUUCCAGGAAAAGCCUCUAAGCAUCAGGUAACAUCAAAUCGUACCCCAAACCGACACAGGUGGUCAGGUAGAGAAUACCAAGGCGCUUGAGAGAACUCGGGUGAAGGAACUAGGCAAAAUGGUGCCGUAACUUCGGGAGAAGGCACGCUGAUACGUAGGUGAAGUCCCUCGCGGAUGGAGCUGAAAUCAGUCGAAGAUACCAGCUGGCUGCAACUGUUUAUUAAAAACACAGCACUGUGCAAACACGAAAGUGGACGUAUACGGUGUGACGCCUGCCCGGUGCCGGAAGGUUAAUUGAUGGGGUCAGCGCAAGCGAAGCUCUUGAUCGAAGCCCCGGUAAACGGCGGCCGUAACUAUAACGGUCCUAAGGUAGCGAAAUUCCUUGUCGGGUAAGUUCCGACCUGCACGAAUGGCGUAAUGAUGGCCAGGCUGUCUCCACCCGAGACUCAGUGAAAUUGAACUCGCUGUGAAGAUGCAGUGUACCCGCGGCAAGACGGAAAGACCCCGUGAACCUUUACUAUAGCUUGACACUGAACAUUGAGCCUUGAUGUGUAGGAUAGGUGGGAGGCUUUGAAGUGUGGACGCCAGUCUGCAUGGAGCCGACCUUGAAAUACCACCCUUUAAUGUUUGAUGUUCUAACGUUGACCCGUAAUCCGGGUUGCGGACAGUGUCUGGUGGGUAGUUUGACUGGGGCGGUCUCCUCCUAAAGAGUAACGGAGGAGCACGAAGGUUGGCUAAUCCUGGUCGGACAUCAGGAGGUUAGUGCAAUGGCAUAAGCCAGCUUGACUGCGAGCGUGACGGCGCGAGCAGGUGCGAAAGCAGGUCAUAGUGAUCCGGUGGUUCUGAAUGGAAGGGCCAUCGCUCAACGGAUAAAAGGUACUCCGGGGAUAACAGGCUGAUACCGCCCAAGAGUUCAUAUCGACGGCGGUGUUUGGCACCUCGAUGUCGGCUCAUCACAUCCUGGGGCUGAAGUAGGUCCCAAGGGUAUGGCUGUUCGCCAUUUAAAGUGGUACGCGAGCUGGGUUUAGAACGUCGUGAGACAGUUCGGUCCCUAUCUGCCGUGGGCGCUGGAGAAUUGAGGGGGGCUGCUCCUAGUACGAGAGGACCGGAGUGGACGCAUCACUGGUGUUCGGGUUGUCAUGCCAAUGGCACUGCCCGGUAGCUAAAUGCGGAAGAGAUAAGUGCUGAAAGCAUCUAAGCACGAAACUUGCCCCGAGAUGAGUUCUCCCUGACUCCUUGAGAGUCCUGAAGGAACGUUGAAGACGACGACGUUGAUAGGCCGGGUGUGUAAGCGCAGCGAUGCGUUGAGCUAACCGGUACUAAUGAACCGUGAGG
rnacentral:rRNA from 1 species